UUCCGGUUGAUCCUGCCGGACCCUACUGCUAUCGGGAUGGGACUAAGACGUGCUAGUCGUGCGCCUUCAAGCCAUGGGGGAGGCGGCGCGCCCAGUCAUUAACACAUAGUUAACCUGCCCUUGAUGCCGGAAGAACCCGGGGAACUGUUCCCCUAUUUCAGAUAGGUGAAGGCUCCUGAAUGGAUCUCGCCUAAAGGCGCUUAGGCCAUGCUUCUAGGCGCUGCCAAGGAUGGGGCCGCGGCCGAUCAGGUUGUUGGUGAGGUAAUGGCUCACCAAGCCUUUAACCGGUUCGGGCCGUGGGAGCGGGAGCCCGGAGAUGGGCACUGAGACAAGGGCCCAGGGCCCUACGGGGCGCAGCAGUCGCGAAAACUCCGCAAUACGCGAAGGCGUGACGGGGCUAUCCCGAGUGCCGUCCGCUGAGGAUGGCUUUUCCCUAGUGUAGAUAGCUGGGGGAAUAAGGAGAGGGCAAGUCUGGUGUCAGCCGCCGCGGUAAUACCAGCUCUCCGAGUGGUGGGGACGUUUAUUGGGCCUGAAGCAUCCGUAGCCAGCUGAGCAAGUCCCCAGUUAAAUCCAGCGAUUUAAUCGUUGGACUGCUGGGGAUACUGUCCGGCUAGGGGGUGGGAGAGGCCGACGGUAUUCCCGGGGUAGGGGUGAAAUCCUAUAAUCCUGGGAGACCACCAGUGGCGAAGGCGGUUGGCUAAAACAUGCCCGACGGUGAGGGAUGAAAGCUGGGGGAGCGAACCGGAUUAGAUACCCGGGUAGUCCCAGCUGUAAACGAUGCAGGCUAGGUGUUAGGGCGGCCACGUGCCGCUCUAGUGCCGCAGGGAAGCUGUUAAGCCUGCCGCCUGGGGAGUACGGCCGCAAGGCUGAAACUUAAAGGAAUUGGCGGGA
rnacentral:rRNA from 1 species